UUUAACGAAAGUGGCGAACGGCUGAGUAACACGUGGGCAACCUGCCCUUUGCACUGGGAUAGCCUCGGGAAACCGAGGUUAAUACCGGAUACUCCAUAUUUGUCGCAUGGCGAAUAUGGGAAAGCUCCGGCGGCAAAGGAUGGGCCCGCGGCCUGUUAGCUAGUUGGUGGGGUAGUGGCCUACCAAGGCAAUGAUGGGUAGCCGGGUUGAGAGACCGACCGGCCAGAUUGGGACUGAGACACGGCCCAGACUCCUACGGGAGGCAGCAGGC
rnacentral:rRNA from 1 species